GCGCGUCAUUCGUCAUGGCGUAGAGGACGUAAGUGGCUGGAGUAGCCGUCCGAUUGCUUUGGAAAAGUGGUGCUUUGAAGACAAUCCACUUGGCCCCACGACGCAAUGUAAUCGACUGAAAGGUGUCAGAUAUUUUUGGACAGGAAUCCGUUCAAUCUCGCUACUGCUUCGAGUCGUUUGGGUGCACGUUGAAACUUCGAGGCCUGCUUUGUUAGCCUAGCCUAGUUUAGCCGCUAACAAAAGAAAACAAACAACGCGCCUGGGAUAAACACGUCGCCGAGUAAGGAAACGUCAAGUCCCAAAAUGUCAGUUUACCCCUCGGUGCCGUGGGGCAUUACCGCCACCUACUGGACCGACGGUUUAGCACGAGAUCUGGCAGUUACAGACUGAAAGUAAUCCCUCCUGACAACCAGUGAAACACACCCAGAGUGUAGAUCAAACCCGAGCCAAAAAAUUGGAUAACUGACAUAGUAACAACCGAAUUAAAUACUAAUGAAUUACCCUCUUCCUAUAUCCUGUCCAACAACCCUGUGUCCCUGAGAAACUUUAUUAGCCCUUUUUGAAUAUUGGCCCUUUUCAUCUGCAGAACAUUUCCCAUCCCAAAUGUCUCUUCUGCCUGGUGCAGCACCAUUCUGAACCGAUCCCUCUGCUCUCCAUACUUCCCGCAUACCAUUAGAAUGUGUUCAACCGUUUCACGCUCCCCACAGUGUUUACAUUUCCCAUCUUUGUGUUUUCCUAUCCUAUGCAACGAAUCAUUUAGCCCCGUGUGUCCUAUCCUCAUUCGACUCAACACCACCUCCUCCCUUCUGCUUCUCCCCAAUCUCCUUCCCACACCCACCUGUGACUGUAUUGAGAAAAAAUGUCUCCCCGUUUCUUGUGCUUCCCAAUACUCUUGCCACCUCUUUUGUAUGUAGCCCCCAAUAAUGGAUUUCCCUUCCGCUCUACUCAGGACGCCCUGCCUUUCUAUCCCCAGUGCUCUCAGCGAUUGCUUGGCCAGGAUGUCCACUACCUCAUUUCCCUCAAUCCCCACGUGCGCCGGGACCCACACAAACUCCACCCUGAGCCCACCUUUCUGUGCUUCAUACAUUAGCCUGUGCAAUUCAAAUACUAAGUCAAGUCUACUGGACUUCAUGGUUAAAAUACUCGUGAGCGCCGACCAACUGUCCGAAGCAAUCACUGCCAAUUUUAUCCCAUUUGUUUGAACCCAACCAAGUGCCAUUAUAAUUGCUGUUACUUCCACUGCAUAAACAGACAGGUGAUCUGUACACCUCGUUUUAAUGUCCACAUUGUAACUCGGCACAUGUACCGCCGCCCCAGUACGUCCAGUUUCCGGAUCCUUCGACCCGUCCGUAAAUACCAGAACGCUUUGCCCAUACCUCUGUCCCAGAUACUCCUCAGCCACCAUACCCUGGUUUCCCCUCUCCCGGAUCACUUCCUUAAUCCCAAAAUUUACCACCGGCAUUGUGAAUAGCCAGGGCGCAACACUGGAUACUGGUACUGUUUUGCCGAACUCCAACUGGCUAAGCCCUGCCAGUUCUGCCACUGCAUUCCCCACCCCGCUGAAGGUCAUCUUCUGUUGAUUUGUGUCCUCCCACCUGUCCAUCAACACUUUCUUUACUGGAUGUGUGUCUCCAUGGCCCCUUACACUCACCCAAUACGCAAGCAUAAUUUUCAAUCUUCUAAGUCUCAACGGGAGCUCCCCCAAUUCCACCUGUACUGCUGCGACUGGUGACGUUCUGAAAGCUCCACUGCAUAUUCUCAGACCGUGCGCUUGUUGCACCUCCAGCUUUCUGAGGUGGGAGUUCGCUGCCGAGGCAUAAGCCAUACACCCAUAAUCAAUUGAAGACCUCAUGAUCGCCCGAUAUAUAUUGAGUAAGGCAGCUCUCGCUGCUCCCCAAUCCCUCCCUGACAGGCACCUCAAUAUGUUAUUGACCUUUUUACAUUUUUCCACCAAUCUAUCUAUAUGCUGUGCCCAUGUAAGCUUUUCAUCAAACCACAUCCCUAAAAACCUCACGCUUUUUACCUGUUCAAUUACUCGUCCAUACAAUUUUAACUCCACCUCCCUAUGUCUCCCAUAGAAGCAUAUUGCCUGCGUCUUCACAAUCGAGAACCUAAAGCCCCACCUGUCCGCCCACUCCUCAACCCUAUUAAUAGCCAUUUGCAUCUUCUUUUGAAGAAAGUCGCCAUUUCGCCCUCUCACCCACAACACCCCAUCAUCGGCAUACAAUGCCCUCCCUACUCCUGGUCCAACAUCAUCAAAUAUAUCAUUAAUCAUAAUAUUAAAUAAGGUUGGACUACAGACACUCCCUUGGGGAGUCCCAUUGUCCACCUGGUACACCCCAGACAAGUCUGCACCUACCCGCACUUCUAUUUUUCUAUUCAACAUAAAACUCAAUAUCCAAUUAUACAAUCUCCCCUUCACCCCCAAUCUAGUCAAUUUAAUAAGAAGCCCCUCUAUCCACAACAUAUCAUAUGCUUUUUCAAUAUCGAAUAAUACAGCUAUCACCAUUUCCUUAUUUACUCGGGCCCUACUAAUCUCGGAUUCCAGACAUAUUAUAUUAUCCAUCGUUCCUCUCCCUUUUCGGAACCCACUUUGACACUGAGUUAAACAGUUGUCCCACUCCAGAGCGUGAUUCAACCUAUGCACCACCAUUCUCUCCAUAGUUUUCCCCAAUUGGGAGGUCAGCGCUAUAGGCCUGUAAUUUUCCGGCCUCGUCGAAUCCUUCCCUGGUUUUAGAAUUGGAAUCACCACUGCCUCCUUCCACUGCACUGGCACCUCACCCGUUUCCCAGAUUCUGUUAAAAAGUUUUAGGACCACUCCCAACCCUUGUUCACUCAUAUGUGCCAACAUACUAUAACACACCGCAUCCUUCCCCGGUGCUGUGUAUUUGCGCUUCACGUUCGCUAAUGUUUUCUUCAAUUCAUAUAAGCCGAAUGGCACAUCGAAGUCCCCGCCUGUCACCGGCCUCCUAUUUUUAGUUCCCGGAUACCGACUGAGAGUCUCCUCCCUACUCGCUUUGGCUCCAUGUGUCAAAUUCCCCAUGCUGUGAAUCCCAACAAACGUCUUAGCCAGCAAUUCUGCCCUUUCAGCUCCCACCACUGCUUUGUCCCCCUCAUGUAGAACUGUUGAAACGGUGCCCCCUUUAAGUCCAUUCAUACGCCGUAUCAUGCCCCACACAUCCGACAACUGAGUUUCCCUACCAAUUUUAUCACAAUAACCUCCCCAAAAUGCACGUUUUGCCGACCUUAUGCGCCUUCGUACCACUGCUUGUUUCUGCUUAUACUGACAUAAUGUCCCCAUUGUGUGGUGCCGUUUGAGGAGCCUGAACGCUCUGUUCCUUUCCCUAAUUGCUUGCCUACACUCAUCAUUCCACCACGGAACCCUCUUAUUGUAAGUACUCCCACGUGACCUAGGGAUGGUAUCCUGCGCCGCCUGCACUAUGGCCCCCACCACUGCUUCAUUAAAUACCCCCGUGUUUUCCAUCCUUUCUUCUGAAAUUUCUCCACACCUGUCAUCACUCUUAAGCCUGAACCCAUCCCAGUCCGCCUUGGCGAAGUUCCAUUUCAUUGUUCGUACCUCACCAAUCCCACACGGGUCAGUUCCUAUCUUGCAAAUAACUGGGUAGUGAUCACUCCCCACAGUUGUCCCUUUGAGUACUCCCCAUUCACAAAAUCCAGCCAAUUCGGCUGAUACAAGUGUCAAAUCCAGUGUACUUUCAGUGUUCGAUGCACUAUUAUAUCUAGUCCCACCACCAUCAUUUACGCACACCAGAUUAUUUUCCUCCAAAUAGUCUUCUAAUGCUGCCCCAUUCGUGUCCGUAUGUUUGCCACCCCACAACGUGCUAUGUGCAUUAAAGUCACCACACCAUACCACUCUUCCCCCCUUCUGUCCCCUCACCAUAUCAAGAUCCCCCUUAUCUAUUCUAUUGCCCGGAUUGUAAUAAUUUAUUAUAUCCACGACACCCAGCCCAGUCCACAGCUUUAUUCUAAUCGACUCAAACCCCGCACCCUUUUCCUCUACCUUAUAGUUUAAACCCCUUUUAAUAAAGGUCGCCACCCCGCCCCCUCUCCUAUCCCCCCUAUCGUUCCUCACUGUUUCAUAUCCACCUAUUCUGAAAUCCCACUGCGGCUUUAACCACGUUUCCUGGAUGCAAAUAACAUGUGGUUCCACCCUCAAUUCCGCCACAAACCUCUUCAUCUCCUGGCCAUUGGCUAUAAGGCUUCGAGCAUUCCAUUGCAUCAAAACUAAGCACAUGACGGCCCACCAUUCCACACUUGUGAGCUCAGAGUCUCCCCCGCCAGUUUUUCCGUUACAACUUCCCAACGUAGAUCCUUAAUAUUCAGAUAUUUCUCAGCCGCUUUAACAAUAAUCUUGAUUUUCUCAGUUUUGCUACUUGUCUGCGCAGUACAAUUUAUCGCCUCAACCAUAAACAAAACGAAGUCCCUCUUACUCACUAUUAGAGAGUCUUCAUUCAUUUUGACACCGCCCACGCACGCUCCAUUAUCCCCUAACGCCGCUAUGUCAGUACCGUCCAGUCGCCUUGUCCCCACUUUCUUUGCCGCAUCAGCGUACGAGAUCCCCUGCGUAACCCGCAUCCUUUGUAUCUCCGCUGCUCUCUGACUAACCUCACAGCCCCUAUACGCUGAGGCAUGCUCCCCACCACAAUUACAGCACUUCAGUCGAGCCUUAUCCCCACACUUCCCAUACUCAUGCUCCCCCGCACACCUUCCGCACCUGAGCUUCCCCUUACACACUGCCGCAAUAUGACCAAACCUUUGACACUUAUAGCACCGCAGUGGAGGAGGAACAAAUGGUCGCACUUCAUAACUAAAAUACCCCAAGAACACUUUAGUAGGCAGCGAUCCCCCCUCAAACUUAAACAUAACCGAUAAACUGUCAACUUUAUUCCCAUUCCUAUUAGCCUUCAAUCGGACGACCUCUGCCACCUCAGCCCCCUUCACAUUUUCUUUAAUCUGGUCCACAGUCACACUCGUAGGGAUUCCAGUAAUCACUCCCCUGUUCAGGCGUCUCUCAUCCGGCAAUGAACAAAUCACCUCUUUCCCGUCAAUUCUAGUCAGCCGCAGUGUCUUCCCCUGUUGCACUCCGUUCUGGCACAAUAUUAACAGCGAUCCAUUCCGCAGUUGUUUUACCGACUUCGAUUCCCCUAUAGCCCUAUGGAUUGCUUUAGACAGUUUAAUCGGGUUCCACUCACCAAACGACGCCCCUUCCUGCGCCAGCUUCACAAAUACCUUGUAUUCGUCGCUUUGUCUUUCUCGAUCACCGCGUUCACCGUCACUACUCGACUCCAAACACUCCAAUUCCCUUCUCCUCGUCUCCUUUUCCGAUUUCUUGCGCUUUUUCCGGUUUAACUGCCGUUCACCCACCUUACUCCACCCGGCAUUUUCCCGGUUCGCCGUUUGACAUCCCAUCCCCUCCAUCUCACUUCCGACUUCGUCACUUCCCUCUGCCAUCACUCCCGCCAAACCGUGAGCCAAUCCGACCGAGAAACGACUUUUCAGUAACAUCCGAUAAUAGGGAAUGGGACGUACUACGUCAUUGUUUGGACCCGCCUCCAUGCUGGCAAUAUAAUUCACUUCCGGGCCGGCAGAGUCAAUGCGGAUUGUAACGUGUGAUAGUGCUAAGCUAACUCUUUCGGUGUUUUAGAAAGAAAACAUGGGUGCUUUAUUGUUGCGUUACCGGGUGCAACAGCGUCUCCUACGACAAAAAAAAGGGGUGAGGAAAAAUGGACUCACUUUUCACCGUUUUCCUGCAUGGAGGACCAAAUAUCAGAUCACGAAGGUACGACGGAUGGCUGGAUUGCAGCGGUUCGUCGGAAAAGCAUUUCUUAUGAUCAUAUUUCUGCUGGAAUGAGAGUGUAUUCCCCUCAUCUCUACUCUUGAAAACCUGCAUAUGAAAUGCUGACAACACAUCCCGAUUGGUCACCAUAUCUCUUCUUGGGUUAUUCUGAGAUCAAGCGCACCACAUCGGAGCGUUGAGAGGUUGGAAAGGCGAAGAGUGCACGCUGAAACUUCAGUUUGCUCUGCUCUUACAAACACGAUCCCAAGUGUUAUGAAAAGUCAAUAAAAUAUGAAUACCAAAACAUGACUUGAACAACUUCUUGACUAACUGUAACUGCUUGUUGUUUACUUCAGGUCUUCAUAAUAAACAGGUGUAAUAAUUACAAAGUCAGGUGACUUAAUUUUGUUAGUCUAUUUGGAAUAUGCAUUGACAAUUUUUGGACAGUGUUGUAGACAAGAACUGGGACUGAUAAGUUGCAAUAGAUUUAUUUCAAGUAAUGCAAUUUCUCCAAUACGAUAUUUGAAUUGACAGUUUAAAAUCUUUAAAUAAGUGCAAACAAGGCCCACCCUCUGACGGUGGCAGCAAAUAUUAUAUAAUUAUAAGUAAUACACAAAUACAAGAUCACAAUAAACGUGUCUUUGUCAAAGCAGUUUAAAACACUAUUUACUGGCCUUGGGUAAAUUGCCAGACAGGAUAAAUAUGUGCUUUAAAGUUCUUGCAUUUCCAUUUUAAGUAUUGCAAGUACUAGUCUCCAACACAGUAUUUGAACUGACAGUUUAAAAUCAUUUUAGUACAAAAUGGCCCACACUCUGGCAGGGGGCAGCAAAUAUUAUAAUACAUAAUACAUUAUAAAAAGCUAUAUACUAUAUAAAUACAAGAUCACAACAAAACCUGUAUUUUUCAAAGCAGUUAAAAAACAUCCAGUGGCCUUAGGUAAAUAAAGGUGUAUAAAUAUGUACUUUACAGUUCUUGCAUUUCUAUUUUAGGUAUUGCAACUUUUCCAACACUAUUUGAAUUGACAGUCUAAAGUCUACAUAAGUGCAAAUAAGAAUAUUAUAAUUUAAAAAUAAUAAUAGAAUAUAUAAAUUCAACAUUACAAUGAAAGGUGUCUUUGUCAAAGUGGUUAAAAAAAUAAAAUAAAAAAAGUCACUGGCCAUAGUUAAAUAGCCAGGCAGAAUAAAUAUGUGCAUUAAAGUUCUUGCAUUUUCACAAGUUAAAAGCCCGCAGUUCAUCGACGAGAAGGGCAGACCCAGAUGGCGUCUGCUGCAGGGGCUUGUUUGAGUCCGACACAGGACAAAUGGAACCACUCCAUUGAACAAAUUUUCUUUGUCAAAUGAUCCAAGAAGAGAGAUGGUGACCAAUCGGGAUGUGUUGUCAGCAGGUUUACCUAGGAACACAACAGGUAGGGGAGUCGUAGUAGGCGAGCAUACCUCCGUGAAGUUGGCCCCCCAUCAGACGCAAAUUUAUAUAAAAAUUAUGUCAAUCGUUUGUGCUAUGAUUGUGCUGGUUUGUGCUGCAAAAAGUUUCGUUUGUGCCAUCAUCGUUUUGCAGUUAUUAAACAUUGUUUUUUAGGUCAUCCAGAGUUCACCCAGCCCCCCAUCUGUGGCGGAAUGGAACCCCGGUGGUGUCAUUUGAUUCUGCCUCGUUAGUGCUGGAUUGUGCUGAAAAAAGUUUUGUUUGAACUGCUACGGUUUUCGAGAUAUUCAUAAAAAUGUAUAGUGAUGACGUCACGCGCAGCCCCCCAUCAGACGCAAAUUUAUAUAAAAAUUAUGUCAAUCGUUUGUGCUAUGAUUGUGCUGGUUUGUGCUGCAAAAAGUUUCGUUUGUGCCAUCAUCGUUUUGCAGUUAUUAAACAUUGUUUUUUAGGUCAUCCAGAGUUCACCCAGCCCCCCAUCUGUGGCGGAAUGGAACCCCGGUGGUGUCAUUUGAUUCUGCCUCGUUAGUGCUGGAUUGUGCUGAAAAAAGUUUUGUUUGAACUGCUACGGUUUUCGAGAUAUUCAUAAAAAUGUAUAGUGAUGACGUCACGCGCAGCCCCCCAUCUGCGGCGGAAUGGAACGGCGAUGAUGCCAUUUUUUUCUUCGUCGUUAGUGCUGGUUUGUGCUGAAAAAAGUUUUGUUUGAACUGCUACGGUUUUCGAGAUAUUCAUAAAAAUGUAUAGUGAUGACGUCACGCGCAGCCCCCCAUCUGCGGCGGAAUGGAACGGCGAUGAUGCCAUUUUUUUCUUCGUCGUUAGUGCUGGUUUGUGCUGAAAAAAGUUUUGUUUGAACUGCCACGGUUUUUGAGAUAUUCAUAAUAACGUGUAGUGAUGACGUCACGCGCAGCCCCCCAUCUGCGGCGGAAUGGAACGGCGAUGAUGCCAUUUCUUUCUUCGUCGUUAGUGCUGGAUUAUGCUGCAAAAAGUUUCGUUUGUGCCAUCAUCCUUUUGCAGUUAUUAAACAUUGUUUUUUUUUUUUUGUAAUGAAGACGGUGCUCAACUUUUUUUUUCGGUCAUCAAGAGUUCAAUUGACCCACCCCCUCCACUCCUACUUUACCCGGAAAUGUUAUCUUUCAUUUGUCCCGUUAAAAACUAUAAUUUUUGGUUUGCACUGCUUCGUUUUAAUAGAUAUUGGUGUCGCAACCACAAACAAAUGUUUUCUUAAUCGAUAUACAUUUUUUAUGCUGUAGUGGUCACGUCACCAACACAUACUCCUGACGCAGCCUUCAUUUGUUUUGGUGCCGUCGCAUAAGGUUUGUCUCGUCCAACUACACACAGUCAAUUGCUUUUGUUGUUUUUUUUUUCAUCACAGGUUUAUAACCUGGAAUUGACUAUAGGUUUUUUUGUUUUCUUAAAAAAAAAAUUCUGCCCAUUUGACAUUCUCAAUAGUCAGGAUAUGCCACUGUUUUGGGGCGAGCUUGCUGCAAAUCGUAACAUUCGGUGAGUACAGUCAGAUUCGUCACAAAAAGAACAUUCUAAUUCCUCCAAAAAUUAAUGCAUGUGCAAUUAAACUGCGGUCACCGCAGUAUUAAAUUGAUGAGUGCCUGUAGAAGAAACUUAAAGAACCAUAUGCAUCGCAACAGUUAAAAGGAAACUUGAAAUAAUAACUUUUAUUUAACAUUUAACAAUUAGUUUUGUUAAAAAAUAUAUAUAUAUAUAUCAAACUAUAUACAUUUUAACAAUUGAACAAUCAACUAUAUACACCAGAUCAAUGUCAAUAUCAAACAUUCACUGCUUAAAACAUAAACUGUAUACACUGUAACAAUUAAACAAUCAACUAUAUACACCAGAUCAAUGUCAAGAUCAAACAUUCACUGCUUAAAACAUAUCAAACUAUAUACACUUUAACAAUUAAACAACUAUAUACACCAGAUCAAUGUCAAUAUUAAACAUUCACUGCUUAAAACAUAAACUAUAUACACUGUAACAAUUAAACAAUCAACUAUAUACACCAGAUUAAUGUCAAGAUCAAACAUUCACUGCUUAAAACAUAUCAAACUAUAUACACUUUAACAAUUAAACAACUAUAUACACCAGAUCAAUGUCAAUAUUAAACAUUCACUGCUUAAAACAUAAACUAUAUACACUGUAACAAUUAAACAAUCAACUAUAUACACCAGAUUAAUGUCAAGAUCAAACAUUCACUGCUUAAAACAUAUCAAACUAUAUACACUUUAACAAUUAAACAACUAUAUACACCAGAUCAAUGUCAAUAUUAAACAUUCACUGCUUAAAACAUAUCAAACUAUAUACACUGUAACAAUUAAACAAUCAACUAUAUACACCAGAUCAAUGUCAAUAUCAAACAGUCACUGCUUAGUAUAAAACAAAGCAUGUGGGGUGACCUUUAUGUUAUCUGACUUUGCUUUCACUCCACUUCCAAGGUCAUCGUACAUCUCCCAUGAACAUGCAGCCCUCCUGCAGAAUGCCACAUAAUGUCCAAGAGAAUCCUGGGUCAAGCCUCUUUGAAAUGCUAUGACUGCUCUCAAAGUAAAGGUGUUCUCUUGCAGCACCAGACUGGAGGGAAAUUCCAGCAAGGCAACUUCUGCAGUACUGCUGCCAAAGUCGGUGUCAAUCCACACAAAUGCUCCCAUACUGUAGCUGUGGCAAACAUUCCCUGAACAUAGACCCGCUUCUGUAAUUUUGCCUUGUUUUUCAAAUGCAGAUGUGCAUUGAGAUGUUUUUGGGAUUGACCUGAGGCAGGUGGAGUCGGGAAGGCUGAGUCCUGCUUCAACAGCUGCCUGAAGAUGAGCCAUGCCACAGGAAAACACUUGGAAGAUUUUUCAUGGCUCUUCCAAUCAGAGUGGAAAUGUGGCAAUUUGCAUCUACUUGGAGAGCACCGGAGGUCAGGUGGACAGAUUUGAAGAUUUCUCUCAAUAGUUCUGCUCUCUAUGGAUCCACAUGGAGCCAUUCAGAACAUGGCGAGAGAUAGGAACUCAGCUUCCUUUUUUUGGGUGGAACCACGAGACCUCUCCAAUUUUCAACCUCAUUCUCAUCCAUCUUUUUGUGGGCAGCAGCGUCAGACUCAUUACUGGGGACAGAUGACGAGAAAUGAAGCGGUCAACACGAAGAGGCAGGCUCUCGUGCUUGAAAAGCCCAUUUUUUAUGAGGUUGAACUCUGCUUCAACAGCAGCGGAACUUGCAGUGAUGCUGGUGCUUUGGAAGAGAGGGACCAUUAUUCCUGUCCAAAGUGCCUUGGCAAGUGACCUGCUCUCUUCACAUAUUUCUGUCACCCACUGUCUGGCAUCUGUAUGGAUCUGAUGACUAUGCGCAUCCAGUGGUUCUUGUCCCACAACCUCUUCAACUUGGGAGCUGACAAGUUCUUCAGCAAUUUGAGAUUUCAGGCAGUCCCACCGGCAGAUCAUCUUGAUGCAGUGUGCAACAUCUACCCUGACAAAACAUGGGGGCAGCUUUGCAGGUUGAUUGCCAAGCAAUACUUUAAAGCAUUCAUUGAUGUGCUCCAGCAUGAAUCCAUUCCUUUAGCCAUUGUGUGAUCGCACAAACAUCAUGCUUCUCUGACAGCAUCUGCACCACUGGUACACUCGAGCUGUCAUGCCCUGUCAUAACACCUUGAUAAAGGAAGAUGUGGCCAGAAGAGCCAUUCGGUCUCACCAAUUUUUUAACUACUGAGCCAGUAGCAUCAAAACAUACUGUUGGGGUGGCCAAAUUUGGUAGAUGACUCGGCUCAGGAUCUCCAAAGUUCAUCAGUUUCUCUGCCUGUGAUGCCCGCCAUACAUGCGGUUCCAUCCUGCCCUCCACAAGUUCUGUGGCAAUCUGGGAACGCAACUGCCCAGACAUGAACCGCUUUGAGUUGCCAGUGUGCAGGGAGUCAUCACUGUUCUUAAUGUAACAGUUGAGCAUCAUUGGACUGUUGAUUUUGGGCUCUCUGUCACAAUUGAGGUUGAGAAGACCAUGACACUCCUUGCAGUAUCCUCUGAUGUCAAUAUAAUUAUUUGUUGCCAAAGGAUACACCUUAGCUCUUUUAAAAAUAAAGGUGCAAGGACUUUUUACUGCUUUCCAGAUUUGUUCAUUUAUAAUGUGGGUCCAGGUGCCAGGCUUCAAAAUUGUAUAUUUUCUUUUUUGGGUUUGACAGUACUUAUUUCUGUAUACAGCCUCUUCUGGAAUAAAUUUCCUCCACUCAUCAAAAGGCACUUGAAGCUGAAAUGACCUUUCAGGGUAAAGGUCAUCCAAUUCAGAGCUUGUGUCGUCAUCACUUGUUUGAGGAUCAGUUUCAUGAUGACUGAAUCCCAAAGCUGACAAGAUGUUGUGUCUGUCUGUUUUAACAAAGGUGUAAAGAGACUUUGCCGACAUUUUCCCGCCCAGCUCCUUACUAAGUUCCAUCCAAACAGUGGCAUUUGGAGUGGCUAUGUUGCCAGUUUGAAGUAUGGCCUCCUUGAAUGAGCAGAGAACUGCAAAAACUGAGUCCCUGUCUACUGCUGGUUGUUUGGGCAUCUAGUUUAAGGACAAAAGAAAAUAAUUAGGAUUCAUUGCUUCAGUUAUAUUGGCCUUUACCACCAAUUAUAAUGUGCUAUGUGCUAUACUUCUAAACACUUGUUACACUUGAUGAAUGUAACUAUUAAAAUGCAAAAUGAAGAUUAAUAUGGGUCGGCUGCAUUCAUAAAUUAAUAGCAGUAGACCAUGCUCUGCACAUAUAUACUUCUUAUAAAUGUAUAUUUCUUGACUUAUUUGACUUAGAGGUAAGAA